UACGGGGGGGGCAAGCGUUGUUCGGAAUCACUGGGCGUAAAGGGCUCGUAGGCGGCCAACUAAGUCAGACGUGAAAUCCCUCGGCUUAACCGGGGAACUGCGUCUGAUACUGGAUGGCUUGAGAUUGGGAGAGGGAUGCGGAAUUCCAGGUGUAGCGGUGAAAUGCGUAGAUAUCUGGAGGAACACCGGUGGCGAAGGCGGCAUCCUGGACCAACACUGACGCUGAGGAGCGAAAGCCAGGGGAGCAAACGGG
rnacentral:rRNA from 1 species